rnacentral:rRNA from 1 species
UACGGAGGAUCCGAGCGUUAUCCGGAUUUAUUGGGUUUAAAGGGUGCGUAGGCGGAUAUGUAAGUCAGCGGUGAAACUCACAGGCUCAACCUGUGCCGUGCCGUUGAGACUGUGUAUCUGGAAUGCGGAUGCUGUGGGAGGAAUGUGUAGUGUAGCGGUGAAAUGCAUAGAUAUUACACAGAACACCGAUUGCGAAGGCAUCUCACAAAGCCGUUAUUGACGCUGAGGCACGAAAGUGUGGGGAUCAAACA